rnacentral:rRNA from 1 species
CCCUUAGAUGUUCUGGGCCGCACGCGUGCUACACUGAGUGGAUCAGCGGGUCAGGUUGCGCGAAAGUGUUUCCUAAUCUUUAAAUCCGCUCGUGAUGGGGAUUGACGGUUGCAAUUUUCCGUCAUGAACGGGGAAUACCUUGUAAGCGCGGGUCAUCAUCCCGCGCUGAAUACGUCCCUGCCCUUUGUACACACCGCCCGUCGCUCCUACCGAUUGAGUGGUCCGGUGAGGCUUUGGGAUCUGGGCGGAAAGAGCGUUUCGCUGUUUCUGCCCGGAAAACUCAGUCGAACCUUAUCAUUUAGAGGAAGGAGAAGUCGUAACA